AGCUGGUACUCGCAUUGGUGAAUCCUAUAGCAUAGAAAAUUCGCAAGAAAUUUUCAGGUAACAUUCUUUGUCAAUACUAAAACAUUUAAAUGAAAGAUGUAAGCAUAUAUCCAACAUAUUCACAAUAUAAAAUGCACAUGCUUAAUGUUAAAGAAAAAGAAGAAGGGGGAAGGCAUGAUGCAUAGCCAACAAUUUUACUGCUCAGGGAAAAGAUGCAACAGCCUUGAUUUCUAAACUCUUUUCUUCUUAGAAUUAACCAUCUUAAAUGUUAAAACUUGAAAGUGGUAAAAACUCAAACCAAAAUGCAGGUCUUCCCCAACAAAAUUCAAAUGAAAUUAGAUUUAGAAGAGCACAUCUCCAGCACUCAAAAGACCAUCUAUUUCACCCAUGGACACCACAUCGAUAUGACAACACAACCAACUCUGGCAGCCCUAACAGAAUUUUUGCAAAGAGAGCAGUCACCUUACCAAGUACUGCUGUUUUGAUAAUCUUACAUUAGAAUAUAACAAACUGAUAAAAAUACGAGGCAUUAAAUAAAAUUGAGAAAAUGUGUAAAGUUUAGGAUAAAUUAAAUCAUUACUCCCUGAUAAUAUUGUGAGAAUUGCAAGUGGCUAGCCAUCAAGAUAAUGUUAGUUUAAACAAAAAUGUUCUACCUAAACCAGGACGAAUGCAGAAAAUCCAAGAAAAGUUCUCAUCCUUUCUAAACGUGCAUUGCUUUUUUUUU
rnacentral:misc_RNA from 1 species